UAAGACAGAGGGUGCAAACGUUGCUCGGAAUUACUGGGCGUAAAGCGCGUGUAGGCGGACCGACAAGUCGGACGUGAAAGCCCUGGGCUCAACCCAGGAACUGCAUCCGAAACUGUUGGUCUGGAGUGGUGGAGAGGGAAGCAGAAUUCCUGGUGUAGAGGUGAAAUUCGUAGAUAUCAGGAGGAACACCGGUGGCGAAGGCGGCUUCCUGGACACUUACUGACGCUGAGACGCGAAAGCGUGGGGAGCAAACAGGAUUAGAUACCCUGGUAGUCCACGCCGUAAACGAUGAGUGCUGGGUGUCGUGGGUUUUGACCCCCGCGGUGCCGUAGCUAACGCGUUAAGCACUCCGCCUGGGGAGUACGGCCGCAAGGCUA
rnacentral:rRNA from 1 species